CAGUCGCCGCGGUAAUACAGAGGGUGCGAGCGUUAAUCGGAUUUACUGGGCGUAAAGCGUGCGUAGGCGGCUUUUUAAGUCGGAUGUGAAAUCCCUGAGCUUAACUUAGGAAUUGCAUUCGAUACUGGGAAGCUAGAGUAUGGGAGAGGAUGGUAGAAUUCCAGGUGUAGCGGUGAAAUGCGUUGAGAUCUGGAGGAAUACCGAUGGCGAAGGCAGCCAUCUGGCCUAAUACUGACGCUGAGGUACGAAAGCAUGGGGAGCAAACAGGAUUAGAGACCCGCGUAGUCCCUGUCUCUUAUAC
rnacentral:rRNA from 1 species